GGACAACAUUAAACCCUGCAGAAGGUGUGACCUCAAGGACACUCCCCUCCAGGCUGUCCCUGGCUGGAAGGGAGGGUCUGGUGGGGGCCACCUUGAGCAGGAGGCCUGAGACCAGAUGUGAGACAGCUGAGCCCCAUGUGUGCCCCUUGGUGACUUCACUGAUGGGCUCAGCACCAUCUGGGACAGGCCAGUGGGAAGGUCCAGUCGUGCCUUGGCUGCAAAUCUGGAAAGGAUGUGGUCCUAGAGGCCUCCAUGCCCUGCCCCAGCCUAGCCCGGUUCCAGUUGCUGGCAGCUUGUCGCCAGGGGUGGCCCGGGUAUCAUCCUCACCGUAACGGCGAAUUGUGCUGGUCUCCCAGGGACUGCCGCCACCCAGCACGGGUGGUGUGGUAGAAGACACCUCUGGCUUUGGGGCUUGGAGGCAUCUCCUGUGAGCUCAGCCUGUCCGUGGCCAGGCCACUGUCCGUGUCUGUUAGUUGCAGAAAAAGCAGUUCCCCAGGUGCCAGCAAGGACCACCUUCCUUCGCUGUCACUGACCUUGAGAAGAGUGCUGGGCGCCCGUGGAGACCCACCAGCCCGAUUUACGGAGGAUGGGCAGAGCCGGGGUCUCUGUCUGCACAGACUUUAUUUUGGAUAUUUCUGGGUGGGCAGUUUCUUUGCAUGUUUCGGGAGAGGUUUAUUGAUUUGGGGCUUCUCGGUUGGGCCCUGGGUUUUGGUCUUAUUUUAGGGGUUGUUUGGGGGCCUCGGGACGGUCAGCCUCACAGGGGACAGGAGGGGGGUGGGUGGGCUUUUCUGUCAUACUCUUGUGGGAGGUUGUUUGUUGUUUGUAUUUCACAUGUUCCCCUCCACAAGCUGGAGUCGUUUCGUUUGGUUUCCACUGUGUGGACAGUGCCUGAGGGGCUGGGGGCGGAGAAGCCCCCCGCUCCCAGACCGCGAGGCACCCACCUUCUGGUGCGAGCCCAGCCCAGGAGGGAGGAGGGUCUUGUUCAGGAGCGAAGGCGGCUCUCGGGCUGCUGGGUGACUGCCAUUCUGUGUACAGUCUCCCACCUGGGUAGGACCGAAAGCCUGAGGGGAUCCCCCAACUGGGCCCCCAGGCCAGACUGGAGCAAACACCACCAGCCUGCCGGCGAUGCCACAGGGACCAAGGAGGUGGAGGACCCCAGACCAGGAGCUGACCUGGUCGUUCCGAGGGGCAGUGCCCCCGAGAAGAGAGAAGCGAGAGAAUCAAGUCCCUUUCGACUUCGGGUUUUUCGAUCAUUGACAUUUCGGAGGGGACCCUCCAGAAGCCAGCGGCUUCCCGAGGACUCGCCCUUUGCUGGGAGUGGAUUUCCACACGUGCCUUUGACUUCGGACAGGUCAGGCUGCACAGCCGCCGACUCAGCUGCCAGAAUCCUGGACAAGGGUUGGUGUUUUCUCUCUCCACCUGCUUCCCACCCAGGACGGAGAUGUUGCCUGAAGGUGAGCAUGGGACCCAGGUCUUGUGCCUUCCGUGCCCCGUGCGCCCCCUCCUGACCGUCCUCCCUCCCGUACACUGAAGCCUGGCAGCUAUAGCAAACUGCUCCUGUUCUCUGUUAAAGGGCCGUGGUGAGAUUUUGUUUCCUUUUGUUUUAUUUUUGAGUUUGUUUAAGAUGGAAAUUAGUUAUUUUCUUCUGCUGGACAGUAUUAAAUAGAGCAGGAUGUUGAGUUAAUCUGCUAGAUUGCAGUACUAAUGGUAGUGGUUUAGUGUCUUCAUAUUAAUAUUAUUUGGACUUAUUUGAACAAUAAUGAUAAAGAAGUGGUUCAUUAUUUUUUAAUUAAUGCACUUUAAUAAGGUGGAAUGGAAAGAAACCCAGAGAGCAAAGUGCAUUACUUAAAGAUGCAGUAUAUACUUUUCUCAUUUUUAAGCAGCACAUAUUUAUUGAAAGAAAAAAAGUAAUUUAUGAUUAUUUAAAAUAAAUUUAAAAGUAGAGUGACUGUCGGGUUAAAGGACCUUCCACGUAGCUAUCUUCCAGGGGGAGGGCCCCAGCGGCCUCACUCCUCAGAAUUCUGCACUGAGCCAGUUCAAUCACAACGCGACAGCCAGGCCAGGAAGGAGUGCAGGACGCAUCUGCCCAGCACAGAGCAUCUCAGUUGGACUGGACCACAGUGCUCCCCAGAGCCUGCCUUCCCCUGCCCUUCCUCACGGCCUCGACUGCCCUGUGGGGCUCUCUACCACCGCCAGGGCCCGCAUUCCCCUGCCCCUCAAGGGCCCUCUACCCUUGAUCCCCAGUGCUCUAAGUGAUGGUCAUUAAAAGUGACCUCAAAGGUCACUCCAUCCCAUCCCCUCCUGUUAUUGCAGCCCAAGGACAGGAAAUGACUCCCAAAAUCACACGGCUAAGUUUACUGGCAGACCUCCCCACGGCAUCCAUCCUGGCACUCCUACCCACCCCCCUUCGAGCUUAUUGUGUGGUCAUCAUGUUUACAUUGGGACAUCCAGCCCCGAGGAUGGCUGGGAGUUGCUCAGGCAUCCAGGGAAAGUGGGGAAUGCUGCCACCUGGUGACAGCAUGGAGAUGUGGGCAGUGAACAGGGAUUGCCAUGUCCCAUCUUUGCCCCUUGCCCCUCACCACCACCCCCUUAAUUCACAGCACAGCACAAACCCUGCAAACCGAAAGAGAGUAUUAAUACUUGAAGCAAAAAAGGGUGCAUGCCAGUCCCUCUCAGACAUGGCUAGGCGAUGCCAAGCCUUGUGCCCCUGGACCCCUAGCCCUACCCAGGGCAAGAGGGCCUUUCCCUAGAGCUACUGAGCUGCUUUGUGAUGCUGGAGGUACUGCUGGCGGCAGGUGGAGGAGGGAAGGGCCUGGGGCUCUGACCCAUCUGGAGGAAAACCAGAUCGGCCUGAAAAAAAAGGAAAAAGAAAAAUGAAAUCUCAGCAGUGUCCAAACCUAGUUUUCCAUUCGUUACGAUUGAAAAUGUGAACUGACAUUGUGUGGCUGUAUACUGCAACUUUAAUCAUAAUGAGCCCUUCUGAGGUCAUUAUUGAGGUUUAUAUAAUGCCUGAAGAUGCAUCAUUGGUGCUUUUCUUUGUUGAAAGACUUUUUCUUUUCUUACAAGGGGGAAAAAAUGUCUUCAUCUCUCUCCCACUUUUUAUAACAGCGGGCCUGGCUGGGCUUCCUGGCCCUGCCACUGCUGUUUCCACUAGGCCAAGGGACCACAGGGGCAGCAAGAGGGAGCAGGAAGGGGUGACCCUGAACAGCAGGUGUGCCAUCUGCUCCUACCUGUGGCCGGGCCCUGCCUUGCCAGCCCUCGGCCCCAUCCACCCCGAGCCUGGCCCCAACAGCUUCUCUUCGUUCCCCCUCUCUUCUCCCUCUUGACGAAGGCAUUAUAUAGAAUCAUUUUAAUCACUUUCAGAUGUUAGAGCAGCAUAUUUUACUGGCAUUUAUCCAUCGCUUUCCUCAGCAAGGCAUGUUACUACUCUUAUCAUCUAAGGGAAAAAAAGACAAGGGAAUUUCGGCCAAGCAUUAUUUUCAUAUUACUAGUAUUUGCAGAGUAGAUGUAGAACUAUUUAAGUUUAGACCUUGGUUUGGUAGUUUAUUUUUUUUAAGGGAAAAAAGAUAAGGUAACCCCUACUUUUCCUGUUUUUGUAUUUAACUAAUAUAUUAUUUCUUUAAGGUUACUCACUUCCCCUAGUCCCUUCAAAUACUUUGCAUUCUCAUUCGAAAAUGAAAACAAUCUGAGAGACAGGAAACGUGCAAUAUUAUCAAGAGAGGGAUGCCAGGGCUUGUUGGGAUGGUGGCAGGAGGGAGACCCGGUGGCCCAGUCUGUCGAUGGAGGGAGGCGGGGCUGCUGGGAGACGUGGGAGCUGUGGAGCGGAGGGGUGGUCCAGGUUAUUGAUCUUUUCCCCUCCUUGCCUGCCCCCCUCCCCUGGCAGGAUGUCAGGGGUCCCCGCCAGAGGGCAGCCCCUUUUUCUGUUGGGUGUCAUCCACCCAGAAGAAAGGGAUUCAGGGAAGUAGCAUGGGGCUCUUGACCUCCCGGGGCCCCUGCCCUCAGAGCAGAGCAAGGACGUCCAGGAACUGUUCCUUGUUUUCAUUUCCGUGGUUUCCAGCCAGCUGCUCAGAAAGACCUGUCCUAACAGUCACUCACCAGCCCUCGCUCACCCCAGUCUCCUGAUGUUUGGGCCAUGAUCCUUUUGAUGUAUGUAUGUUUGAGUCUUUCUAAAACUAUGUAACCUCAGUUCAGUUUAUGGGCAGGAACCCUAGAUGUAACCGAAUCCUUUCUGGGGGAGGUGGGUGCCUUCAGCCCUGCCCUAUCCCAGUGAAACACCAAUUUCCACAAGCCUGCAGCUGGGCCUGGUGCUAACCUGGGCCACCCGUUCAUCUCAGUGACUUCAGCUGAGGAGUGAGCCCUGCCUCUGCUCAACACCCCAACGGUCAGUGCCCAGAGGGUCUCGGAGCAGCAGCUGAGGGGCCUACCCAGGUCCCUGCGGACAGAACUGCCCACAACAGGUACCAAAGCGGCCUCCUAAGUUGGCACGGGCAGAGGAAGCAGCAGGGUGGGAAGUCUCUGGGUUCAAGCCCUUGGAGCCUGGCUCCAGGGACGGCCUUGCUGGCGUGUCCCCUCCACCUCCAGUACUGUAUGCUUGCUGCUCCGACCCGUUUGGUGCAUUUCUGUACAAAUAUGGAUCUAUGUGCCAAGUGGGACUGUGCCCCCCUGUGUGGGUCUCUCCCCUUGGAGCAUCUACAUCUAUGUCCAACCUUUGAAAAUCUUGACGCAGAGCUCUCUGGAAAAGAGAACCAUCCACAUAACUAAAGAAUUAAGAUUCCCUCACUUUUUUGAGGGCUGUGUGUUGAGAAAGUGUGUGCGUGCGUAAGUGUGCCUGUGCGCGUGCGUGUGUGUAACUUCCCACUGUUACGAAGUAGGAUGGGGUUAGAGAAAACCAGCGGGCACGCUGUCUCCAUUGUACAGUCCUUGGCAUUGGGCAGGCCCCACGGGACUCACAGCUUCUGGCAAGUGUGUGUUAUUCACACACGUAAUUCUGGCUGGAGAGUGCAAUGUGUCUUUUUUUAUUUUUUUGUAAUUAUUUUAUUAAGUAUUUAGUUGGAAACUUCACACUGGCAUUAACAGAUCUAGCAGAAGCAGCCUAGGCCAUCGUCCCAGGCUCCCAAAUGAAGUUGUGGAAAAGAGAUGCCGCUGAGUGUGCUACGCGGCAGGCCGACUCCCACCCGUCGCCAUGCAUGUCAUCACCGUGGGGUGAUGGCCCUCAGCUCUUGUUUCUGGGGAUGGUCAGGGCGAGAACUUGCUCACGGUGAGCUCAGCAGACCUGCACGUGCAUGUACAUCGGCACCUGCCUAGACCUCGGGCCCUGUCACUUGAUGGGACUAGUGUGAAGGGUUCCCCCUUGACCUUACUGAGAUUUCUGCCAAAAUCAUGAUCCUGUUUGGGGCAGCCUCUGUGGUUCUCAUGCUCCGUGACCAGAGAAGGAUGGGGGUCAGUGACCUAUUGCCUUAUUUCAGGAAAAGCAGCCCCACUGAUUUAAGCUUCCCUCCUGUUUUGUCCUGUGCACCUGGGCUCUCAGACAAGAAGUUGGGCACAUUGGUGCUUAUAGACUGGGCAGGCCUGGUCCCAACCUGCCUAUAAGGUUGAGAUUGCCAUGCAUCUUCCUGACCAAUUCCUGCCUUUCUAAUCUUGAGUUUGCACUUGACCUUGACAAUCACCCACCCCAGUCCUAGAAUUUAGUGGCCUUAGAGAGUGGAUCCCUGCGCUAAAGGUCCCUCCUUUGCACCCCCAAGUUUCAUCCUGGCUAAUGGGGCUGGACUUCAGGAGGUGAGAGAGAGAGGAAAAAAUUGUUUUAAAGCAAAAGGAUGGAUCGAGCAUGUUGGAGACGAGCAAGAGGCAUGUCGGCAAGAUGAGUAUGUGCAUGUGUGGCUUGUUUGGGUGUCUGGGACUGACCGUCCCUUCUCUGGGAAGGUGGCUUCCAGAAGAGGGUGUCUAGGCAGAAAGGGAAGUGUGAGAAGGCUGAGAGAGGGUUUGGAGUCUUGUCUUUAUUAAAAAGAAGGAAGAAGUUGAUUCUAAGUGUUUCAGGAAGAAGAGAGCAGGUAAGGAGGGAAUUUAGUGAUGCAACACACAAGGGUCCAGCCAGAUCAGGUUGAAAUAAGGCUGGAGGAGAAGCAGCUGGCCAGAGGAAACGCUACUUGCUGUGCCACAAGCUCGGUCCCUAGCAAGUUCUUAAUGAACGGUCACUGAUUUACUCAGUGGAGAGAGUAAGUCACCAGCAACAACUUGUAUUUUGAGUUUGGAGGCCCUGGAUCCAGAAUAUUCACCCAUCUCCCAGGUUCCCAGCUGGUUUUGCCCACCUCUUUUUGUCUAAUACACAGCUAACCCCUCAAAUUGUUUAACUCAAAGACUAGAGACCAAAAGGGUCAUGUAGUUAGAGACCCGCCACCCCCAAAUUGGAACCUCAGGGUCCAGAUACCAUCAAGCUCAUCUGGGAGGGAGGCGACCUUGUUUGUUCUUCUCCAAUGUCUCUGAUGAUACCUGUGGUUAUUCAGUUGGUUGAGCCUGCCCACUGGUGUGACUUAGAAGACAGGGGGUGGGGGGGAGGGGGUGGUACAGUGCAUACUCAUCCAUGGAUAUGCCCUUUCGUGUUUAGUGGCCUAUGACCAAGACACACUGCUCUUAAGUGUUUAUUUCAGAGGAAGAAGGGUAAACAGCCACCAUUCUUGAAUCUGCAUCUUGUUCUCUGCAACAGGUUUUCUUUAAAUGCAGGACACAGGAUGGGAGAGGGUUUUGCUGCUAGUUACUGAGAGGUUCGCAGGAAGGUGACCGAGUGAUGCACACGUGAGUGGCAGGUCCCUGAAGUGUGGGUUUGUGGACCGCAUGGUUGCAUGUGAACUGGAUGCCUCGGCUCCAGAACUUUGGGGGAUUUCUCGUGGUGUCCACUUAACCCCCCUCCCUCCCAGAUCCUAGUGGGCUCUAUGGGGGUCACGUUGUUUCCUCUUCCGCCCUCAGCAGAGAAACUGAAGGAAAGGACAUUAAAUUGAAUGCAGUCAAUUUGAGCACUAAAAAAUUUCCAGGAUCAAUGGUGGUGCUAAACUAUCUCCAUGUUUCUAUUAUUUUUAAUAGUGGGUUUUUGUUUUUUUUAUUAUUGUUCUCAUCACAAAAACGCAGUGUCCUUGGGGAAGGGAUCCAGCCUCUUGGCCUGUACCUUUCCAGGUGUCCUUUAUCAUUUUGACGGGACUCUUUGGUCUGCAGAAAUACUAUGACUUGGCAUGCUUCUAGACUAAUCACCUCUUCAUUCUCCUUAAUGCCAGAAAACCCAUCCAGCUGAAUGGCAAAAGCAUCCCCAGUGCAGAAUGAACUACAGGAUCCAUAUCCUCUGGGGACAGAGGGGUGGGGGAUGAGAAGCCUCCAACCCUCCCAACUUCUGCUGAACUCUAACAGGGCUGGGCCAUCCUGAUGUA